rnacentral:rRNA from 1 species
GACGAACGCUGGCGGCGUGCCUAAUACAUGCAAGUCGAACGAAGCUUUCUUUCACCGAAUGCUUGCAUUCACCGAAAGAAGCUUAGUGGCGAACGGGUGAGUAACACGUAGGCAACCUGCCCAAAAGAGGGGGAUAACACUUGGAAACAGGUGCUAAUACCGCAUAACCAUGAACACCGCAUGAUGUUCAUGUAAAAGACGGCUUUUGCUGUCACUUUUGGAUGGGCCUGCGGCGUAUUAACUUGUUGGUGGGGUAACGGCCUACCAAGGUGAUGAUACGUAGCCGAACUGAGAGGUUGAUCGGCCACAUUGGGACUGAGACACGGCCCAAACUCCUACGGGAGGCAGCAGUAGGGAAUCUUCCACAAUGGACGAAAGUCUGAUGGAGCAGCGCCGCGUGAAUGAAGAAGGCCUUCGGGUCGUAAAUUCUGUUGUCAGAGAAGAACGUGCGUGAGAGUAACUGUUCACGUAUUGUACGGUAUCUGACCAGAAAG